rnacentral:tRNA from 1 species
GCGGCGAUAGCUCAGUUGGCAGAGCGUCGCCUUGAAAGCUCCUUAACUGUGCAGUCUCACGUCCAGUGCCGCGUGCUCGAUCCACGCUCGCCGCA